UACGUAGGGUCCGAGCGUUGUCCGGAGUUACUGGGCGUAAAGCGCGCGCAGGUGGUCCAUUAAGCCCGGCGUGAAAGCCCCCGGCUCAACUGGGGAGGGUCAUUCGAUACUGUUCGACUCGAAGGCAGGAGAGGGAAGUGGAAUUCCCGGUGUAGUGGUGAAAUGCGUAGAUAUCGGGAGGAACACCAGUGGCGAAGGCGACUUCCUGGCCUGUUCUUGACGCUGAGGCGCGAAAGCCAGGGGAGCAAACGGG
rnacentral:rRNA from 1 species